AGGAUGAACGCUGGCGGCGUGCCUAACACAUGCAAGUCGAACGUCCUGUCUCGCAAGAGGCAGGGAGUGGCGGACGGGUGAGUACCACGUGGGUCAUCUACCGUGAGGUGAGGAAUACCGGCGAGAAAUCGCCGACAAGACCGCAUAGGCUCGAUGCAAGUCGAGCAAAGCUCUUUCGAGAGAGGGAGCGCCACACGAGGAGCCUGCGCCCGAUUAGCUAGCUGGUGGAGUAACGGUUCACCAGGGCGACGAUCGGUAGCUGGUCUGAGAGGACGAUCAGCCACACUGGGAUUGAGAACGGCCCAGACUCCUACGGGGGGCAGCAGUGAGGAAUUUUCGUCAAUGGGGGCAACCCUGAACGAGCAACGCCGCGUGCAGGAAGAAGGUUUUCGGAUCGUAAACUGCUUUUCUCGGGAAGAGAAUGGACGGUACCGAGGAAUCAGCCCGGCUAACUACGUGCCAGCAGCCGCGGU
rnacentral:rRNA from 1 species